rnacentral:lncRNA from 1 species
UGGGGAUUUUUGGGGUUUUGGUUUCGUUUUGUGUGGUUCAUAAAGGUUUAUUUCCAAACAUUUUUGAAACAAAAUCACACUUAAGAAUUGGUAUAAGUAUGUCACUCUUUUUAAAAAUUUUUUGAUCCAAAAUUCAUUUUUGUGUCUUGGGAGAUAAUCUGCUCAGCGUUCAAAGCAUAAACUUCGCAUUUGGGGCGCGUUUUACCCCCUCGGUUGGCUUCUUGCUCUGCUCCUGUAGGCAGUGGCUCUGACCUCUCCCCUUCUCCCACCCUAGGAUCUUUUUUCAUUCAGUGGGAGGUGGCUGUGAUCACCCUGAGAUUUGUUGUUUUUAAAUCCGCAGAUCUUUAUGCUCUGGGCUUUGGAGGGGUUUCUCCUCUGUCCUCCGCCUUUCUCUCUUAGGCCUCUUCCUUUCUCUGUGGCCUGCGCUUGUAACUCCUAAUGACCGCGUUGCUUGAUUUCUCCUUGUGGACACUGAGGUUUCAUGGCCCUGGCUCUGCACCCAGUGGACACAGUGUUUCGGAUGCCUGCCCAGGACCUCGCGGGCCUGACUGGUGUGGAAUCGCAGUGCCAAGGAAGCAUAGACGCCCUGCCAAGGAAGGCCCAGCACAUCCCCAGCUCCACAGCUCCCAGGGUCAUUUCGACCUUGGGGAAGAGCCAGAAGGAAAUCACAGCGCCGGACUCAGUGCAGUACUAAGCGGUGAGGAACGCACUCUGGUGGCUUUAGGAGCCACCUUUCUGGUGGGCAGUGCUCAAAGCAGCUUUUACCAUCUUCUCAGCCACACCUGCGGGGUGUUCAAAGCCGGGGGAGGCUUCUGGGGGAUUCGUGGCAGUGUCUGA